rnacentral:lncRNA from 1 species
GCAUCCUGCUGUUGGUGGCCCUCGGUUCUCUUUGAAUGUUCUCCUCAAGUGCACCCAGAUUCUUCAGUGUCCUUAGGCAGGCACGUCAUCUAGGGCCAAAUGUCUCCCUGCAUUUCCAGGGCAAGACCCAUGCAUGGAGGAGGAAUUUAGCUGCUGGGAUCUGUGUGUUUGGUUGAAGAGGCUGAGGAAAAGGAGGGGUGAAUUUGUGGGUGGCAAAGCAUGAUGAUGCUGUUCUCUGUAAUUAGGAUAUGGCGCAAGCUCUGGACUCUGAAGGGCCAAAAGUCCUCACCAAGCAAAGGGUCCCUGUGGAUGAAACUCAAAGCACCACCCAGGGAGCCACAGGUACUCAGAAGUGCAGUGAACCCACUGGCAAUGAUGUUCAAGCAGUGGACUAUGCAGGUGCCGAGUGGCGAGAGGCAACGGAGUUAAUGAAAGCACUGAACAUCCUCCUUGGUAAAGUCCAUUGUGGGAAUCUGGCUGUGAAGACAGAGGUGACACAGCAGCUCCUGGCUCAGGACAGGAUGGCCAGUCGAGGGAAAGCAGAAACAGAGCAAGGACAGGACCCUGCCCUGUCCCUACAGCAUGGUCUCUCCAGUAGCAAAGGUGCCUCUGCUGGCCUUCCUGGCUCUGAGAUACAAGGGUUAGGCCUGCAGCCUGGGAGUGCCACGCUGGCCUGUCUCACUGAGCUGGAAGUGGAGUGCCUGAUGGCAACUUCCCCCCUCGCCAAGACCCUGCAGGAGAUCAAGCAGGCUUUGGAGAAGCAACAGCAGCUGAAGCAGCAUCCUAGUCCUCCUCCUGCUCCAGGAUCUACCUCAGGUGCAGCUGCUGGUUCUUGCUUUCAGAGGGAGCUCAACAAAGCCAUCAUGGCUCUAGCCAAUGCCUUUUUCCAGAGUUCCUGGGGAGCGGCAGAGAAGGAUCCUAUAGAAGAUAAGUCAUCCACUGUCUUAGAUUCCUGGACAGUAUUUGAAGAACUGCUGAGAGUUCACAUAUCACCAGAUACCUGCUGCUAUGAGAAAUCCCAACGUGAGAGGUUGCAACAUUACCAACGCUUGCAGCUGCAGGCAGAGAUCCUGGAUUCUGUUGAAAAUCUGGGGACAGAAGAAGCCGGGAAGUGGUGUGAAAACUCAGGCAAGAAGAAUGCCGAUUCCCCUCAUGUUCAGUUGCAGGUUGCAAAGCUGGAGGACAUGUUGGAUGAGCUGAACGAGGAGUUUUUACGGCUUACGGUGCAGGCUUUGGCAAGCCAGAAGGAGGGGGAACUACUGGACCAGGAGCUCAGAGCCCAAGAGGAGUUGCUUACGCAGAAGCCACGGGACACCCCUGGGGAGAUAACACAGCACUACACAAGGCUGCUGGAAGCCUGGGCCACAAGGAGAGACCAGGCCCAGUUGCUGGAAAUUAGAAGGAGCUGCAUCACUCAGCAGAUUAGUGACACAGAAUCUGAACUGUUUCAUCUUCAGCAGACUACAGUGGCCACCAGCUUGUCAUCUGCAUAA